rnacentral:rRNA from 1 species
CCAAGAUUGAAAGCUGGCGUCUUCGGCGUCCGCAUUGUAAUCUCAAGAAGUGUUUUCCGCUUCGGACCAUGCCUAAGUCCCUUGGAAAAGGGCAUCAUAGAGGGUGAUAAUCCCGUACAUGGCAUGGAGCGCCCGAGGCUUUGUGAUACGCUUUCUAAGAGUCGAGUUGUUUGGGAAUGCAGCUCAAAAUGGGUGGUAAAUGCCAUCUAAGGCUAAAUAUUGGGGAGAGACCGAUAGCGAACAAGUACAGUGAUGGAAAGAUGAAAAGAACUUUGAAAAGAGAGUUAAACAGUACGUGAAAUUGCCAAAAGGGAAGGGUAGGAGGUCAGAGAUGCGUCUUGGGAUUCAGCCUUGCUUUUGCUUGGUGUUUUUCCCAAGUUGCAGGCCAACGUCGGUUUUGGGCACUGGAGAAGGGUGGAAGGAACGUGGCACCUCUCGGGGUGUGUUAUAGCCUUCCACUGGAUACAGCGACCGAGACCGAGGACAGCAGCGUACUCGCAAGAGCGGGCCUUCGGGCACCUUUACGCUUAGGGCGUUGGCAUAAUGGCCCUCUACCACCCGUCUUGAAACACGGACCAAGGAGUCU